AGUGCUGUAGCUCAACUGUUUAGAGCGCCCCACUUAUGAGGAGCCAGAAAGGAAAAUUCCGGGCAGGUGCACCUGCGGCACUGGUUCGAUUCCAGUCAGCACUA
rnacentral:tRNA from 1 species